rnacentral:lncRNA from 1 species
GUUUUCCGUGAUUGGCCCGGGCCGGGGCAGGCCUAGACUUAAAGGGACUGCGCCCUCCAGGGGCAGGCGGGAGGGAAGUGACCUGUGGAGUUUGUAGCGGAGUUGGACCACUAAAAAAUUCCAGGGUUCUUUUUGGCGCUGGAAGGAAUUUAGAAGGCCCCUGGCCUGGUCCUGGUCAUCUGCUAUUUUCAGAAGCCCAGAGAGAUUGCGCCACUUGUUCGACUCCACACAGCGCUCCUCCUGCUCUUCCAGAGUUGAAGAAAGGCAGGCUGGGCAAGGAGUGAUAUUCCCAAUGUAUGGAAGGAGAAACCGAGACCUGCAAAUGAUAAACUACAUUCCAGGAUCACCAGCUUGUCAGGAGCCUGACUCUCUGACUAGAGCAGUCACUUCCUCUUCCUGGAGGCCCCCACAAGCAAGAUCCUACCCUUGCCCUUCUCUCCAUCUUGUCUGGGAUCAGGAGCUUCCUCUUUCCCCACGGAAGGGGACCUUGCUCCACUGCUAGGUCGUGUGACUAUGGGCCCACAGGUCACGUUCCUGAGUUCUCCAGACAGAAACUUACAUGCCGCAAACAAUCAGUCCUUGUCUUCGCUUGCCUGGCUUUGCUGCCAGGAUUUGGAGCCACCUGCAAUUCUGAAAUCUCACCCCACCCCAUUCCUGCCCUGGCUACCCGUGUGCUCACUCCCCCUGGAAAAUUCACCUCAUCAGAGGUUGAAUAAAAGGCUUUACUUCUAUAAUCUCCUUUUAAGAUCUUAUUAUUCCCAUUUUCCAAGGAGAGAGCAGGCUCCUCCUCUUCUGGCUCUGGCUGUGUGGCAAGGCUGUGCCUCCAUCCCUCGAGGCCCAAGGAUGGCUGAGAUGCCACAUUUUCCUGGCCUUCCUUAAAAUUUUAAACUUUUUUUUUUUUUUUUUUUUUGCAAGCAGGGGAGAGGGGAAGAGGGAGAGAGAAUCUUAAGCAGGCUCCACACUCAGCAUGGAGCUGGACACGGGGCUGGAUCUCAUGACCCUGGGAUCAUGACCUGAGCCCCAAAGUCAGAUGCUCAACCGACUGAGCCACCCAGGCAGGCGCCCCUCCCUGGCCUUCCUAUAAGAUCACACUCACAGAGGCCUGCAGCAUAAAAGGUACCUCUCUAGCCCUUCUCCUGGAUCUCAAAACU